rnacentral:rRNA from 1 species
ACUGCUCAGUAACACGUGGACAACCUACCCUGAAGAGGGGGAUAACCCCGGGAAACUGGGGAUAAUACCCCAUAGACUAUGGAUGCUGGAAUGCUUUGUAGUUGAAAGGUCCGCCGCUUCAGGAUGGGUCUGCGGCCGAUUAGGUUGUUGUUGGGGUAACGGCCCAACAAGCCUGUAAUCGGUACGGGUUGUGGGAGCAAGAGCCCGGAGAUGGAUUCUGGGACACGAACCCAGGCCCUACGGGGCGCAGCAGGCGCGAAAACUUUACAAUGCGAGCAAUCGUGAUAAGGGAACUCCGAGUGCCCGUAAAAUCGGGCUGUCCGCCAGUGUAAAUAACUGGUGAAGAAAGGGCCGGGCAAGACCGGUGCCAGCCGCCGCGGUAAUACCGGCGGCUCGAGUGGUGGCCACUAUUACUGGGCUUAAAGCGUUCGUAGCUGGUCUGUUAAGUCUCUGGGGAAAUCUUCCGGCUUAACCGGAAGGCGUCUCAGGGAUACUGACAGACUAGGGACCGGAAGAGGUGAGAGGUACUCCAGGGGUAGGAGUGAAAUCCUGUAAUCCUUGGGGGACCACCUGUGGCGAAGGCGUCUCACCAGGACGGCUCCGACAGUGAGGAACGAAAGCUGGGGGAGCAAACCGGAUUAGAUACCCGGGUAGUCCCAGCUGUAAACGAUGCGCGUUAGGUGUAUCGGUGACCACGAGUCACCGAGGUGCCGAAGAGAAAUCGUGAAACGCGCCGCCUGGGAAGUACGGUCGCAAGGCUGAAACUUAAAGGAAUUGGCGGGGGAGCAC